rnacentral:rRNA from 1 species
GUAGGGAAUAUUGCGCAAUGGACGAAAGUCUGACGCAGCGACGCCGCGUGAGUGAUGAAGGCCUUAGGGUCGUAAAGCUCUGUUGAAUGGGAAGAAAAAAAUGACGGUACCAUUCGAGGAAGGACCGGCUAACUUCGUGCCAGCAGCCGCGGUAAUACGAGGGGUCCUAGCGUUGUUCGGAAUCAUUGGGCGUAAAGGGUGUGUAGGUGGCCAUGUAAGUCAGGUGUGAAAGCCCCGGGCUCAACCCGGGAAGUGCACUUGAUACUGCGUGGCGUGAGUACCGAAGAGGGUAGUGGAAUUCCAGGUGUAGUGGUGAAAUACGUAGAUAUCUGGAGGAACACCGGUGGCGAAGGCGGCUACCUGGUCGAGUACUGACACUGAGACACGAAAGCAUGGGGAUCAAACAGGAUUAGAUACCCUUGUAGUCC